rnacentral:rRNA from 1 species
GUCUAAGGCGAAUAGCGCCCUGAACGCGCCCUAUCUCAUCUGAUCUCGGAAGCUAAGCAGGGUCGGCCUGGUUAGUACUUGGGUGGGAGACCGCCUGGGUAUACCGGGUGCUGUAGGCU